GGGACGCCCAUGGGGUCACCUGCCCGUCACCUGGAACGAGCGCAGGCAGCCGCAGGGUGGGGAAAAUCGUGCGGGCUCUCUGCCGCUCUACCGCCGGUGCUGGCUCCGCCCACCUCUGGCUGCUCCCUCUGCUCCUCCGGCGACUCCUCCUCGUACAUCUUCCAUGCAGCCGUUAGCCGCUGACAUCGUCCUCCAGCAGUGGCCGAAAUUGUUCAGAAAUCGUUCAAUUGUUCAGAAAUUUGACUGUGUAUCUCGCGGUGACAAAUGAUCUAGCACAAGAAACUGCAUGCUGGAGAACACCCAGUGAGUAUGCUACUUCUCACUAAGGAAGGUUCAGAAAUGAAGCACAUUCCAAUCAGGUAAUGGCCAAAGCACCCAAAGCAGAUGACAUUUCCAUGUUCAAUACGUUCCUUUCCGCACGGAUGCCUCUAGACUCUAGAGGACAACCAGAAAUGCAGACCCUGGCCUGGAGCUCGAGGUGGGCGCGCAAGGGGAACUUGAGGGAGCCGGCGGCGCGGGGUCGGUUUAUCCUGCCGAAGCAGCGGCGUGGGGAGGAGGAUCCUGCAGGAGCGGCGGCGCCGGCGCGGGGUGGAUGAGGCAUCGAGCGAAAGAGCGGCCGCCGGAGUGGGGCGGAGGAUUCCCCCCGAGAGGAACGUGUCUGUGGUCCGGAGGAAGACUAAUAGGAAGGAGGAAGAAGAUGAAAUUCGCUGCUGGCCGUCCGAUUCAGAUGGACGGUGGAUACAUGGGGAAAGGCACGCCGUGCCCUGGCUGUGGCAAGGCACCUGUUCCGAAAUGACUAAAAAUGGGUAUUUUUUAGGAAAAAAAUUAUAAAAAAUCAUUUAUUUAUUCCGAAAAUAAUUAUUUUAAUG